CAACACCGACCCACAGACCCUGCUGGGCUCCUGACUGCUCACCCUCCUUUCCCAUGUAAACUCCCCAGCUGUUCACAACUAUGAGAACACAGCCCCUAUGCCCCUUUCUCAGCUUCCUGAGAAAAGCUGGAUGUGGUUGAGGACCCACGUUUGAGACAGAUCUGGGUCAGAACAUCUUGUCUUACUAUUUCUGUGACCUUAGACAAGUCAGUGUGUGUUUCAGGACCUUCUCUGUCACCCAACAUGCACAAUGGUAACAAUGCUAGAAUAUUCUUCCUGGGAAACUCAUCAGGUGUAUAUGAGUUGCAGAGUCUGGAAGUUGAAUAUCAAGAUGCCAGUAUUGUCAGCCUUUGGUGAGAGCUCUUCUGAAUUGCCGACUGCAAACUUCAGGUUAUAUCCUCACCUGGUAGAGAGAACAAGAGAAAUCUCUCUGAGGUUCCUUUUAUAAAGCCAGUAAUCUUAUUCACGAGGACUUCAUCCUCAGGACCUAAUUAUCUCCUACCUCCUAAUAUCACCACAUUAAAGGUUACAAUUUCAAGAUAUAAAUUUGGGAGAAAAUAGACCAUCAGUCUAUCAUGGCUCCCAGGAUUAUAUAUGAAAAUGUUGUAAUUUCCCUUCUACUCACUCUGUCUUGUGUUUGCUCCCUCAAUCUCUGUUCCUGUCUCUGUAUCUCUCUGGGACUCUCUGUUGUAUUCCUCACAUUGCAGAAGCAAGCUCCAAUGUUAAUGUUAUGAGUUGCUCUGUGUAUGGGUCCAUAUGGCAGAGAACUGAAGGAGUGACAAGGCCAAUAGACAAAGAAAAAUAGGCUCUCAGUCUACGUUGAAUUCUGCCAAUAGCCACAUGAGUGAGCUUGAAAACAAACAGCCUCAUGAAAGACCCUGAGUCAGAGACACCCAACCAAGCUGGGCCCCUAUUCCAGUUCCAACAAAUUACCCAGUACUGAUUCCCUCAAAAGCCUCAUUGAAGAAAUACAAAAACGAUAAUCCAGAAAAUCUAGCUUUUUCCAGCAUGUAAUCAUCAUGUUUAAAGUAAGGAGCAUGAAUCAGUGAGAACGGGUUCAAUAUCUGCUUGAGGUGCGGUGGACAUAACCUGAGGUUACCACACUCUCCGCGACUAGGCUCCACUGCUCAUGGUAUAGCAGUGAGAAGAUGUCAGAAAGGGGAAAGACAGCAAAUGAAUGACAAGGACAGGAAUCCCUGAUUCUUGGCUGAAGCUGGUGGUCUUUAUGCCUUGGAGCUACCCAAGAGGGCCUGUUACUGUGACAUCUUCAGCAGUUGCACAAGAAGAAAGCUGCACAGGAAAAGAGCCGGUUUCCGGAAGUCACCCUGACAUGGGAAGAAGCCUGUGGGUAUGCAAAGUACCACCUGCUGGGUCUCCCUAUGUCCCAUGAAGCCUAGACUGGGGAAUGGAUGAGGGCUGGAGAGUCUCUUAAAAUAUCAGAUGCGCAGCUGCUCGGCCUGCUGGGCCUGCCAUUUUGCCUAUGGAGAAGAGGCAAAGUCCACCCAGGCGUGCAUGGGGAGUAGGUGGCAUUGCAGGUGCCGGGCCCUGACAGAGCCACAAGAGAACUCAUGGGGAAUUUUCCUUCCCAGAGUCUUAGGACGGUGGCACUCUUCCUCCAAGUCCUUCAGUUUUCAGCAGGAGAUAGCCCCACAGCAGGUGGGCCUCACAGAGAGUGCCCUGGCUAGGUGAGGACUGCCCACUUGCGGGCACUUGCGGGCACUUGCGGAUGGCCCACAUCCAACCUUACUCAUGGCGAGACUGCCUGCGACGGUUUGGGAAAUGUCAGGCAGGCUCCGCCUGAGCUCUGCCACUGUUCCUGCCCCUUCCCCACCCUGUUCUGCCAUCUGCUUUGUGCUCUGUGCUCAGACAGGUGGCUAGGUCAUUCAAGCCAGAGGAGCACAGCUGUGGAAAGGCAAGCUUGGUAAAGAGAAACAAAAGGAAUCACAGCAACCUUCAUGCUCAGCAGUAGAAUAAUAUAAGAUU